rnacentral:ncRNA from 1 species
AUUAAGACGUUUAGAAGGAGUAGUAAUGAUAUCUGGGAAAUAAGAGAGCAGACGGCUGCUGAAAGUCUGCCAGAAGGAUAUGAUGAACUCGCCUUUUAGUUUUGAGAGUGAAAAAUGUAGUAAUUCUCAACGGGUCACGUCCGUUAAGCGUGCUGAGCGAACAAGUAAUGUUACUUGUUAAUUUGGGUGGUACCGCGGGAAUAACACAACUCUCGUCCCUGAC